GCCGGGUCGCCUACGCCGCAAAAAACCAUGGCUGCAGACGUGGACGCGCAUCGAGUCUGGGGAAAAGAAACAUAGAGCAUCACAAAGAAGUUAGACAAGCUCUGGGGGAAAAGGCCAGGAAUCUGCUAACAACAUGGUGCGCUGCGUUAAUUAUCGCCCCCUCUUGAUGUGCCGCGCCAAUAUCUGUCCCCUAAGGAGAAGAGAACCUUCAGAGAACCUGAAGAAAACCCACGCACACCCGGGGAGAACAUGCAAACUCCAUGCAGAAUGGCCCUUGUUCAGACUGAGUCUCAAACCCGGGUCUCCUUACUGCAAAGGCAAGAGUGCUAACCACUACACCAACCAUGUGGCCCUUCUCUGUACCAUCUAUUCCCAAAUGUAAUAAGGUUUUGUGACUGAAAUGAGUGAAAAGUGCCAUGAAAUCAGAACGAGACCAAAGCAUCAAUGAAUUAACACUGAGGUAACACUCACCACGACCACAGAAGAUGCUCUUUGUGAUUGGCACGUGAAAAUGAGUGUUUGUGAGUCAGGCUACAGCAAUGGAAAAGUAAUUAAAUGCAUCCUUCCUCACUUUAGCACACUCAGGGUGGUGAUGCGUGUCGAGCCUCAUGAAGGCUGACUGCAGACAUGCAAUGAAGUCGUACAUCUCUUAUAAGCUGUUUCCAGACAUUCAAGUUCUAAAGUUCAUACAUUUUCUAGAAAUCAUCCAGAGAGCAAAAUAUUGCUCUGGAGUUUUUCCCUGGAACUUUUCCAGCCAUGCAGCCU